UUUGAAGUGUAUACAUUUUAUACUUCGUUAUGCAUAGAUUGUUCGGUGUUGUUCUAUUUUAUGAUUGUCAAAAAAUACUCAUCAUAAAUAAAAGAUGCUUACAUUAAAUCUUAACUAUUAAAGUAAGAUUAUCACCUAUUUUGAAUAAAAAGACCAGUGUUUAUCAAUUAAAUUUCAAACGUUUGUUCAACAGCUAGAUAGCUUGGAAAAUAAGUAAAACAAUCCGAAAAGGUACGUGAAAGACAGAUGAUAUAAAAAAAAGCAAAAAAUUAAUAUUUGUAAGCCCUAGCUUUUAACUCUGGCAUUAAUUGCAGUUAAGUAAAUCGUCCGUGCAGAAAAAAAAACAGCAUAUUAAGUGAGAAUGCAAUUACGAUAUCAAAACUCAUUCAUCUAAGAAUCCAUCACCUAUUAAAUUCACCCAUUGGGUGACACAACCUCCAGAAGUAGAUUCUAUUUCUGAUAACUCAGGAAUGCAUUCGCAAUUGCAACCCAGACUUUGUCCACAAUGAUGAAUGUCAGAAUGCCGAUAUCCUAAAUCACGAAAAUAAUGAACCUGUUCUUUCGACAAGAACAGUCCAGCAGCUAGAGAGUGAAAUGGAGCGUCUCCCCAUCUUUCAGUCCAAAAGCCUCCUGUCGCAUCCAUUGUACGGAAGAAGUUCUCAUACUGUUCAUUUCUGAAGAACUUGAAAUUUGCAAUCUCAAAAUUGCUCCAAAAAUGACACAUAUUAUAGGACUCCCCUUCCAUUGAAGAUGUUUCUGCUGAAUAUGAUGAGUCAAUCAUAGCAUUUAAAUGAGAGGAAAAGGAGAGACCUACUGUAGGGUCUUUUCUUGAAAUAUCGUAGUUUUCCUUUUUAGGAGCAUCCAAAAAGAAUUUCCACAUGUUAGAGGUUAAAUUAUUAUUUCGACGAUAAGCCGAGGUAUAUCGAAACAAGUUUGGAACAGUGUCUUCUAAUUCCUUUAAUGCUACAACAUAACCAUAUAUUUUCCCAUUUUCUUCCAUGUAGUAGAAAGGGUCAUAAGAUAUAUCGCAUGUGAAAGCUACGUCGGGUUCAACUCGCCAGUACCAUUGAUAUUUGAGUAGCAACGGAUGCUUAUAAAAGAACCCCGAAAAAAAGCGACACAUAUGAUGGUAACUUUCUGUAUCACCAUACAUGAUACCUCGAUCUCCUUGACUUGCAAUAGCUUCACGCGCUGCAUCUACAUCAACAUUACCAGGAAAUCCAAAAGUAUCUUUUUCAAGCGUUCCAAAUUCAACGUUCGCAGAUGUAAGUUUAAGAAUGGUUUCCUUAAAUUUUUCAUCAAAGGGCUCAUCGUUUAAAAAUGUAUAAGGGUAAUUAAAAUGUCGAUUAAAGUGUUUCUCCAAUGAAUUGAUAGAAGAAACAACACCUGGCAAGUCUGAAUUACGAGCAAGCAUAACAAAAGUUGCAUUCAUUCUCGGAUGCAACUGUGCUUCCAAAUGAACGUUCUUACAGCCAUUUGAAAACAAAGGAUCAUUCCUUUCAUCAAUCCGUCUAAGAGGAGGAUGAUUAAGUUUAUAAAUUAGUUGUUUGUAUCCCAUCUUUAAAAUAAAAAUUAGCACUAUCAGUAGUAAGACCAGUACAAACCGUGCAGACAAAGGACAUCUUUUUUUAAGUUUUUUUCGCAAAAGGCAUCGAAAAUUAAUCCUGCUUUCAGAAAAAAAAACAUGUUUGUUCCACCCUAGCAUUUUGUACUGGCAAAGAGUAAUAAAUCCAGAUGUGAGACUGUA